rnacentral:rRNA from 1 species
UACAGAGGUCCCGAGCGUUGUUCGGAUUCAUUGGGCGUAAAGGGUGCGUAGGCGGCGGGGCAAGUCUGAUGUGAAAUCCUGGGGCUCAACCUCAGAACUGCAUUGGAUACUGCCUUGCUAGAGUACUGGAGAGGGAACUGGAAUUUACGGUGUAGCAGUGAAAUGCGUAGAGAUCGUAAGGAAGGCCCGUGGCGAAGGCGAGUUCCUGGACAGUUACUGACGCUGAGGCACGAAGGCCAGGGGAGCAAACGGG